ensembl:lncRNA
AGAGCUGGCCGGUCGUGACUGUGUGGACUCUGCCUGCGUGGGAAUGGCUGACCCCUGAGCUGGGCAGGGAACAGGGCUUGGAGGGGCCACUGGGUGGGUACCGCCUGGCAGGACCACACACAGCUUGGAAAGAGAGAUGACCCUGGAAGCUUCAAGCACAUAAACCUCUUUGGGGACCUGGUCUUAUCUAAAACACCAUGUAAAUAUGCUCUAGUCCAAUAUAUUUGUUUUGCUUUACUAUCAUGUUCAUGUUGCUGAGAUAACUUGAGCUCUUCGAAUACCCCCCUUGAAAGUUUUUCUUUCCCCCAGGAGUUCGAGAAUGGACAAAUACAAGAGCAAUUCUGUGUUUUGGGGUGAGGCUAAGUUCAGAUUUCAAACUCUAGUGACAGAAUUGAGCAGAUGUAUGGCAUAAUUUGUUACUAUAGCUUUUUCUAUUCUGUAAUUUUAAAAAAUGGUGAAAGGACUUGCCCUGUCUCGGUACCCUUGAUGGGAAUUGAGCAAACCCGACUGGGACUUCUGCUGGCACAUCUUACUUCGUUUCCCACAUUACUACUGGUUGCAGUUUUUUUUUCUUUUUACGGCUGUACCUGCAGCAUGUGGACGGUCCCAGGCAGGGGGUCACAUCGGAGCUGCUGCUGAGGCCCAUGCCACAGUCCAGUAACACCAGACCCUUAAGGCAGUGAGAAAGGCCAAGAUCGAACCCGCUUCCUCAUGGAGACAACACGGAGUCCUUAACCCACUGAGUCACAACGGGAACUCCGCUAGUUGCAUUUUUACAUGGUUUUUGUAAAUUUUCAGUGUAAUUUUCUGUUGAACAUAGUGAGCAAACGCUGCCGAUGGACAAAUCGUUAUAAGGAUGGAGAGACGUGUGCAGCUGAUUUGCUCAAAAUCUUUGUCUUACUGAUAGGUUACAAUUAAGCUGAAAAACAUGUUAUGUUUUCACUUUGAAGAGCCGUUAAAAAGCUCCAAGUCGCUUUGCUGAGAGCUGGGUAUACGUGGGCGAGGCUGCAGGGACUGGGUGGCCGAUUCUGGUCGGGAGGCAAGGCGAGCUCCACUGAGCUUGACUUUGUAAAGGACUCAGGUGCCAGGCCCUGAGCUGGGCCUUUUGCUCCGUCAUUUCUGUUUUGACUUGAAAGGAGAAGGUGGUCAGGAGUGGUAGUUUUCAGACUGAGGGAAGGGGACGCACCCUAGGCCAGCUCGGGACAGCCAGGUACAGGCCAGGUGAGGAGCCAGACAAAGCGUUGGUGCCCGCCCAGUGCACGGGACAGAGCGAGGUGGACCCAGCCCAGCAUGUCCCUGGCAAGCUCAGACUUCAGGAGGGAACCAGCUGCUGCCCCGAGUCCAGAAGUGACUCCACGCUGGGGAGGGGGCGUGGGACGCGGGCUGCCCAUGAGGCUGGAGGAUGAGACCGGUGUGAGGUGGGCUUGUUUCCUGAAAGCAUCCGUGUGCCAGAUGCCUUGGUCAUUUUAUUGUGUGUGCUGUGCUCCUCCCUGGGAGGAGGGACCUGUCCCUCUUCCCGGGAGAGACACGUGAGCUGCAGAGGGACAGGUGGUGUGGAGCUGACCUGGGACCAGGAGGCCCCCAGCCCAGCCCCGCCCCCACACUCCUUUCCGCAUUACACCAAACUGAGGCUCACCUAAGGGGCUGUGAGCUUGCAUCUGCUGCGCGCUGGCACGCCACUAUAGCAGGUGUCAGUUGCCCAUUGAAAGCUGCUUUAUUCAGAAGGAGACCAGUCCCUACAUUCCUUCAACUGCUGGUUAUCAGGAAGGCAGCGUGGGUACCUGUGCCAGCCCCCAUGGCACCCCUGCGCCCUCCCUGGAGGCUGCCCUCUCCCCGUCGGCUUGCCGAAUCCACCCACUGGCCAGGGCUCUCUCUGCUGGAAAAAUUAAUCGUCUCUUGCCCUGCAUGCCUCCGAAGAUGCUGCUUUCGCUCUUCAGCUUCUGCUGCACUAUAAUUCCUUCAUGUUUGUAUCCCCCAUCGUAUUUUUGUUUUAUUGUGGUUGCACAGUGUGGCAACACAGGAUCCUGUAAUUCACUGUGCUGGCCUGGGGAUCAAACCCAUGCCUCUACUGUGGCCUGAGUCGCUACCGUCAGUUUCUUAACCCGCUGUGCCACAGCCAGAACUCCUCUCACUGCAUUUGAGUCACUCGUGAACAGCACCUGGGUUUUCUCACUUUUAUAUCUUCCCACACCCCAUGUUUGGCCUCUGCACCCCACCGUGCAGGAGGGUGAGUCCCAACUUGGUUGCCCUGGACAGCCUGGCACAUUGGCAUUUGGGAUUUCAGUAAGCAUCACUUUUGUGCUCUUGGAAGACAAACCCAGCAGACUAGGUCCUGCUUACAUGAGAGAGACAGGACUUUGAAACCUCCUGCUGGAAAGGGCAGUCCCCACUGGAGGGAGACAUCUGAGUUUCUGCAUACAUUUUUCACGUGAUGCUUUGGAAGUCAAAGCCUUCGUGUUCAGCCAGGCUAAAGUCUUCUGGCUUUGGGGGUGAGGCCAGGUGGGGCCAGGUGGAGAACGGCAGCCAGGAGAGCUCAGCGCAGAGGCAGCGGGGUAGCUGGGCCGGGAUGGCUGGCCUGCCUCACCCCUGCAGGCUGCUGGGGCUGGCCCAGACCUACUUUUGCAGCAUGCUCUCAGGUCUCUAUCUUAAGAGGGGGCCCCCAGACUCUGGCCCCUCCAACCUGACUGUGUCCCUGGAGCAGGGGGUUUGGGAGCCUGGGAAUAAUCCUGAGCGGGGGACACAAGGACAGCUUGGCCAUGUCCAAUGCCAAAGCCUUCCUUUCAAGCGCUUGGCUUUGGGUUGAGGGGAUGUGGUUGCUCCCUGGAAAUUGCAGACUUGUGGUACAAAUUCUGGGGUCUGCCCCAGCUCGCUGGUGUUUGGGGUAGAUGGGGGCUACAGGCAAGGCCAAGACAGACACCCUCAGAGGCAGGAGAGGCACAGGGGGUGGACGAGUUCAGUGACACAAGAGAGGAACUUCCCCCACCCUUCCCUUUCCACGAGGUGACAGGCCUGGUGACCCCCGUCCAGCGCUGGGUGGAUGGAUCAGUUAUCCGAGAUUUAACCGGCGUGGCAUUUUCCCCUGUUUUCUGAUUUGAAGUCUGGGUGUCAGUGGGGCUGGGGAAGCUCUGGGCCGGUGGGCAGGUGGCGGGGAUCUGUAAGUGACAAGGGGAUGGCGUGAGGGCCAGGCGGGGCUGCUCCAGCGGAGCGAGGAAGCCGCCCAGCUCGGGUUUCGCCAGCCCAGGCAUCUGCUGCAGGGCUGGGCCCUAUUUUGAGAAACAGCUCACUAGGAGGUUAUCAAGUGUCAUAUUUUCACUGGAGAAUUAAAGGCGCCCGGCAGUGAGCUCGGAGCCCUGAAAGGGCCACAUGGAAACAGAGGGACCCUUGGUCUCUACUUCUGCCUGCGCCCCCCUGUCUUGUCUGCGAUUCUUACUGAAGGCGUCUUUGAAAAUGAAAUAAUGUCCACCUAAGUAAAUGCCACUUCCUUUAUUGGGGACAGAGAACAUUCUUCCUGUGACAGAGGCAGACGUGAGGCUGUGUAGUGCCGACGUGUGACCCAGUGGCUACUGGCUUCAGGGGGUUCUGGAGCCAAUCUGCAGUCUGUCUACAGGAACCUCCUGAUUACAGCGAAGCGGUGAAGACUCAGGCCCAGAAAUCCGUCGUUCUCUGGGAGACUUCGGGCAAGGGGCACCCAAAGCGUGAUUUGGUGACUUUGUGACCUCCGGUGAAGGGAGCUGGGUUCGUUCUCCUGAGAAAUUCCCAGAUCUCUGUUCUGCCCCGAUCAGUUCCCGGCUGCGCUGAAAGGGGGCUCGUCGGAUUUCAGGGCUUUUCAGUGAUUUACAAAAGUGAAUUGAAAUGGAGCAGCCUUAUCAGGCAGCUGCAGGAUGCACGCGGAUUGGGGGGGGCAGUCCCUGGAGAACUUCUUGCUCUGCAGAUUUUAUCUCAGGAGGCCCCACCAGUUUUCUUUUGGUUUCACACUUGGCUGGGAGGGACUGAAUACCAGCCCGCUCCUGGUUUUCCCACUGAAGGAAAUAAAACAUAUUGCGUGGCUGGAGGAAAGCCAGUCACUGCCUGCCCGUGAUGGGCUGUGGUUGCUAUUUCUUGCCCCUUUUGCCAGCUCCAUUAGUGAAUCAAAAGGAAAACUAGACUUUGCUGCAGGUCUUUUGAGCUGAUAUCUAUGCUAAUUUGGUUUGUCUCCCCAGGCUAACGUGACAGGGAGGGUUUUACAGCUAAUUAGAUGCUUGUUAUGCCCCCCAAAUAUGCCUAAACCAUGAACACUUUUGGCUUAAUUAAUGUUUGUAAACCUUCAUUCUGCAUCAUCAGUAACCUGAAUUGCUGUUUGCGUGCAUUUUCUUGGAUGCCUCUUGUGUAACAGACUGUUUGCAGUUUCCAUAGUGAUGGGUUGUGUAAUUUACGCCACUCAUCUCUGUAAUUAUCUGGUUACCUAUCACCUUGAUCAGUCAAUUCGCACACAACCUGCCUGGCGGUUUCACGGGAUCUGGUUCCUCAUGGCCAAACAGUCCAGGAAGAAAUUUGAGGAAUAUUUAGGAGUCAUAAAACUCUCCAGUGGUUAUUUUCUUUGGGAAAUAAGAGCAGCUGUGCUCCUGACCCUCUGUCUGGGGACGCGGUGGGCAGGGCCAGCUUGCCACUGGGCUGCUCCCGGCCCUUCCAGAACCAGAGCCAGGUGGGUGUUGGGGUUUCAAGUCCUGCCGCCCACCUUGCGCUGGUCUGAGAAGGGCGAGGAAGACGCUGCGACUUCGUGGUGGUGUCUUGCUUUUCUUUCUUCACUGCUCUCUCUCCUCCUCAUUUUGGGGAAAAUGAUGAUUCAGAUGAGGCUGUGCACCUGCUGGUGGAGUGGGUUGGAUGCUGCGGAUGUCACACUGCAGCUCUCCGUCGGUGGCUGUCAUGGCUCUGCCGUCCUGUCUCGGGCAGGUCCCGAGCCUGUCAUCCUUGUCAGUCACCAGAAUGGCCUCCCUUCUCAGGUGUUAGGAAGUUCAAUUCCGCACGCCCUUGCCACCCAACCUCCCCGCGCCCCAGGGCACCCAGGGGCCGCUGCUCCGUCCUCUGUUAGCCUCCUCCUCGGGCCCCUGGGUGCUGCUCCAUGGCCACAGGGGGUGGGGGUGGACAGAAAAGGAAGGAGCCGGCCCUUGGCCCUCGUGGGUGUUCUGUGCCUUUCCCUCACUGCCCAGUUAGGUGCCCUUGGGUGCAGUCGGCACCCUGAUGCCAUGUCCUCUCGUGGGGGUCGUCUGCGAGUGUCCAGGGACUUUGGCCCCUCGGCUCCUGUGUGUGUGUCCCUCAGCCUUUUCCAGCCUGGCCAGUCAGCUUUCACAGACAGGUUCGUCCAAGGCCUCUGGGCGGCCAGGCUUUCAGCAUCCACCUGCCUCCAGAACAGGCAGUAUCCUGACUAGUAUCCAUGAGGAUGCGGGUUCGAUGCAUUGGCCUUGUUCAGUGGGUAAGGAGCCAGCCAUUGCCGUGAGCUGUGCUGUAGGUCACAGAUGGGGCUCGGAUCCCAUGUUGCUGUGGCUGUGGUGUAGGCCGGCAGCUGCAGCUCUGAUUUGACCCCUAGCCUG